rnacentral:rRNA from 1 species
CCUACGGGCGGCAGCAGUGAGGAAUAUUGGUCAAUGGACGAGAGUCUGAACCAGCCAAGUAGCGUGAAGGAUGACUGCCCUAUGGGUUGUAAACUUCUUUUAUAUGGGAAUAAAACGUUCCACGUGUGGGAUUUUGUAUGUACCAUAUGAAUAAGGAUCGGCUAACUCCGUGCCAGCAGCCGCGGUAAUACGGAGGAUCCGAGCGUUAUCCGGAUUUAUUGGGUUUAAAGGGAGCGUAGGUGGAUUGUUAAGUCAGUUGUGAAAGUUUGCGGCUCAACCGUAAAAUUGCAGUUGAGACUGGCAGUCUUGAGUACAGUAGAGGUGGGCGGAAUUCGUGGUGUAGCGGUGAAAUGCUUAGAUAUCACGAAGAACUCCGAUUGCGAAGGCAGUUCACUGGACUGCAACUGACACUGAGGCUCGAAAGUGUGGGUAUCAAACAGGAUUAGAUACCCGAGUAGUC